AGGAGAGGGACAGUGGACCCCUGGAUAAAGGGGAGGUUUUGUAUCAGUGUUGAGGAGAGGAGAGGGACAGUGGACCCCUGGAUAAAGGGGAGGUUUUGUAUCAGUGUUGAGGAGAGGGACAGUGGACCCCUGGUUAAAGGGGAGGUUUUGUAUCAGUGUUGAGGAGAGGGACAGUGGACCCCUGGAUAAAGGGGAGGUUUUGUAUCAGUGUUGAGGAGAGGGACAGUGGACCCCUGGUUAAAGGGGAGGUUUUGUAUCAGUGUUGAGGAGAGGGACAGUGGACCCCUGGAUAAAGGGGAGGUUUUGUAUCAGUGUUGAGGAGAGGGACAGUGGACCCCUGGUUAAAGGGGAGGUUUUGUAUCAGUGUUGAGGAGAGGGACAGUGGACCCCUGGAUAAAGGGGAGGUUUUGUAUCAGUGUUGAGGAGAGGGACAGUGGACCCCUGGUUAAAGGGGAGGUUUUGUAUCAGUGUUGAGGAGAGGGACAGUGGACCCCUGGAUAAAGGGGAGGUUUUGUAUCAGUGUUGAGGAGAGGGACAGUGGACCCCUGGUUAAAGGGGAGGUUUUGUAUCAGUGUUGAGGAGAGUAGAGGGACAGUGGACCCCUGGAUAAAGGGGAGGUUUUGUAUCAGUGUUGAGGAGAGGGACAGUGGACCCCUGGUUAAAGGGGAGGUUUUGUAUCAGUGUUGAGGAGAGGGACAGUGGACCCCUGGUUAAAGGGGAGGUUUUGUAUCAGUGUUGAGGAGAGUAGAGGGACAGUGGACCCCUGGAUAAAGGGGAGGUUUUGUAUCAGUGUUGAGGAGAGUAGAGGGACAGUGGACCCCUGGUUAAAGGGGAGGUUUUGUAUCAGUGUUGAGGAGAGGGACAGUGGACCCCUGGAUAAAGGGGAGGUUUUGUAUCAGUGUUGAGGAGAGGGACAGUGGACCCCUGGAUAAAGGGGAGGUUUUGUAUCAGUGUUGAGGAGAGUAGAGGGACAGUGGACCCCUGGAUAAAGGGGAGGUUUUGUAUCAGUGUUGAGGAGAGUAGAGGGACAGUGGACCCCUGGUUAAAGGGGAGGUUUUGUAUCAGUGUUGAGGAGAGUAGAGGGACAGUGGACCCCUGGAUAAAGGGGAGGUUUUGUAUCAGUGUUGAGGAGAGGGACAGUGGACCCCUGGUUAAAGGGGAGGUUUUGUAUCAGUGUUGAGGAGAGGGACAGUGGACCCCUGGAUAAAGGGGAGGUUUUGUAUCAGUGUUGAGGAGAGGGACAGUGGACCCCUGGAUAAAGGGGAGGUUUUGUAUCAGUGUUGAGGAGAGGAGAGGGACAGUGGACCCCUGGUUAAAGGGGAGGUUUUGUAUCAGUGUUGAGGAGAGGAGAGGGACAGUGGACCCCUGGUUAAAGGGGAGGUUUUGUAUCAGUGUUGAGGAGAGGGACAGUGGACCCCUGGUUAAAGGGGAGGUUUUGUAUCAGUGUUGAGGAGAGGGACAGUGGACCCCUGGAUAAAGGGGAUGUUUUGUAUCAGUGUUGAGGAGAGGAGAGGGACAGUGGACCCCUGGAUAAAGGGGAGGUUUUGUAUCAGUGUUGAGGAGAGGAGAGGGACAGUGGACCCCUGGAUAAAGGGGAGGUUUUGUAUCAGUGUUGAGGAGAGGGACAGUGGACCCCUGGUUAAAGGGGAGGUUUUGUAUCAGUGUUGAGGAGAGGGACAGUGGACCCCUGGAUAAAGGGGAGGUUUUGUAUCAGUGUUGAGGAGAGGGACAGUGGACCCCUGGUUAAAGGGGAGGUUUUGUAUCAGUGUUGAGGAGAGGGACAGUGGACCCCUGGAUAAAGGGGAGGUUUUGUAUCAGUGUUGAGGAGAGGAGAGGGACAGUGGACCCCUGGUUAAAGGGGAGGUGUUGUAUCAGUGUUGAGGAGAGGAGAGGGACAGUGGACCCCUGGAUAAAGGGGAGGUUUUGUAUCAGUGUUGAGAGGGACAGUGGACCCCUGGUUAAAGGGGAGGUUUUGUAUCAGUGUUGAGGAGAGGGACAGUGGACCCCUGGUUAAAGGGGAGGUUUUGUAUCAGUGUUGAGGAGAGGGACAGUGGACCCCUGGAUAAAGGGGAGGUUUUGUAUCAGUGUUGAGGAGAGGGACAGUGGACCCCUGGUUAAAGGGGAGGUUUUGUAUCAGUGUUGAGAGGGACAGUGGACCCCUGGAUAAAGGGGAGGUUUUGUAUCAGUGUUGAGGAGAGGGACAGUGGACCCCUGGAUAAAGGGGAGGUUUUGUAUCAGAGUUGAGGAGAGGGACAGUGGACCCCUGGUUAAAGGGGAGGUUUUGUAUCAGUGUUGAGGAGAGGGACAGUGGACCCCUGGAUAAAGGGGAGGUUUUGUAUCAGUGUUGAGGAGAGGGACAGUGGACCCCUGGAUAAAGGGGAGGUUUUGUAUCAGUGUUGAGGAGAGGGACAGUGGACCCCUGGUUAAAGGGGAGGUUUUGUAUCAGUGUUGAGGAGAGUAGAGGGACAGUGGACCCCUGGUUAAAGGGGAGGUUUUGUAUCAGUGUUGAGGAGAGUAGAGGGACAAUGGACCCCUGGUUAAAGGGGAGGUUUUGUAUCAGUGUUGAGGAGAGGGACAGUGGACCCCUGGAUAAAGGGGAGGUUUUGUAUCAGUGUUGAGGAGAGGGACAGUGGACCCCUGGAUAAAGGGGAGGUUUUGUAUCAGUGUUGAGGAGAGUAGAGGGACAGUGGACCCCUGGUUAAAGGGGAGGUUUUGUAUCAGUGUUGAGGAGAGGAGAGGGACAGUGGACCCCUGGAUAAAGGGGAGGUUUUGUAUCAGAGUUGAGGAGAGGAGAGGGACAGUGGACCCCUGGUUAAAGGGGAGGUUUUGUAUCAGUGUUGAGGAGAGGAGAGGGACAGUGGACCCCUGGUUAAAGGGGAGGUUUUGUAUCAGUGUUGAGGAGAGGGACAGUGGACCCCUGGUUAAAGGGGAGGUUUUGUAUCAGUGUUGAGUAGAGGGACAGUGGACCCCUGGAUAAAGGGGAGGUUUUGUAUCAGUGUUGAGGAGAGGGACAGUGGACCCCUGGUUAAAGGGGAGGUUUUGUAUCAGUGUUGAGGAGAGGGACAGUGGACCCCUGGUUAAAGGGGAGGUUUUGUAUCAGUGUUGAGGAGAGGGACAGUGGACCCCUGGUUAAAGGGGAUGUUUUGUAUCAGUGUUGAGGAGAGGAGAGGGACAGUGGACCCCUGGUUAAAGGGGAGGUUUUGUAUCAGUGUUGAGGAGAGGAGAGGGACAGUGGACCCCUGGAUAAAGGGGAGGUUUUGUAUCAGUGUUGAGGAGAGGGACAGUGGACCCCUGGAUAAAGGGGAGGUUUUGUAUCAGUGUUGAGGAGAGGGACAGUGGACCCCUGGAUAAAGGGGAGGUGUUGUAUCAGUGUUGAGGAGAGGGACAGUGGACCCCUGGAUAAAGGGGAGGUUUUGUAUCAGUGUUGAGGAGAGGGACAGUGGACCCCUGGAUAAAGGGGAGGUUUUGUAUCAGUGUUGAGGAGAGGGACAGUGGACCCCUGGUUAAAGGGGAGGUUUUGUAUCAGUGUUGAGGAGAGGGACAGUGGACCCUUGGUUAAAGGGGAGGUUUUGUAUCAGUGUUGAGGAGAGUAGAGGGACAGUGGACCCCUGGAUAAAGGGGAGGUUUUGUAUCAGUGUUGAGUAGAGGGACAGUGGACCCCUGGUUAAAGGGGAGGUUUUGUAUCAGUGUUGAGGAGAGGGACAGUGGACCCCUGGUUAAAGGGGAGGUUUUGUAUCAGUGUUGAGGAGAGGGACAGUGGACCCCUGGUUAAAGGGGAGGUUUUGUAUCAGUGUUGAGGAGAGUAGAGGGACAGUGGACCCCUGGAUAAAGGGGAGGUUUUGUAUCAGUGUUGAGGAGAGGGACAGUGGACCCCUGGUUAAAGGGGAGGUUUUGUAUCAGUGUUGAGGAGAGGAGAGGGACAGUGGACCCCUGGAUAAAGGGGAGGUUUUGUAUCAGUGUUGAGGAGAGGGACAGUGGACCCCUGGAUAAAGGGGAGGUUUUGUAUCAGUGUUGAGGAGAGGGACAGUGGACCCCUGGUUAAAGGGGAGGUUUUGUAUCAGUGUUGAGGAGAGGGACAGUGGACCCCUGGAUAAAGGGGAGGUUUUGUAUCAGUGUUGAGGGACAGUGGACCCCUGGAUAAAGGGGAGGUUUUGUAUCAGUGUUGAGUAGAGGGACAGUGGACCCCUGGUUAAAGGGGAGGUUUUGUAUCAGUGUUGAGUAGAGGGACAGUGGACCCCUGGAUAAAGGGGAGGUUUUGUAUCAGUGUUGAGGAGAGUAGAGGGACAGUGGACCCCUGGAUAAAGGGGAGGUUUUGUAUCAGUGUUGAGUAGAGGGACAGUGGACCCCUGGUUAAAGGGGAGGUUUUGUAUCAGUGUUGAGGAGAGGGACAGUGGACCCCUGGAUAAAGGGGAGGUUUUGUAUCAGUGUUGAGGAGAGGGACAGUGGACCCCUGGUUAAAGGGGAUGUUUUGUAUCAGUGUUGAGGAGAGGGACAGUGGACCCCUGGAUAAAGGGGAGGUUUUGUAUCAGUGUUGAGGAGAGUAGAGGGACAGUGGACCCCUGGAUAAAGGGGAGGUUUUGUAUCAGUGUUGAGGAGAGGGACAGUGGACCCCUGGAUAAAGGGGAGGUUUUGUAUCAGUGUUGAGUAGAGGGACAGUGGACCCCUGGUUAAAGGGGAGGUUUUGUAUCAGUGUUGAGGAGAGGGACAGUGGACCCCUGGAUAAAGGGGAGGUUUUGUAUCAGUGUUGAGGAGAGGGACAGUGGACCCCUGGAUAAAGGGGAGGUUUUGUAUCAGUGUUGAGUAGAGGGACAGUGGACCCCUGGAUAAAGGGGAGGUUUUGUAUCAGUGUUGAGUAGAGGGACAGUGGACCCCUGGAUAAAGGGGAGGUGUUGUAUCAGUGUUGAGGAGAGGGACAGUGGACCCCUGGAUAAAGGGGAGGUUUUGUAUCAGUGUUGAGUAGAGGGACAGUGGACCCCUGGAUAAAGGGGAGGUUUUGUAUCAGAGUUGAGGAGAGGGACAGUGGACCCCUGGUUAAAGGGGAGGUUUUGUAUCAGUGUUGAGUAGAGGAGAGGGACAGUGGACCCCUGGAUAAAGGGGAGGUUUUGUAUCAGUGUUGAGGAGAGGGACAGUGGACCCCUGGAUAAAGGGGAGGUUUUGUAUCAGUGUUGAGGAGAGGAGAGGGACAGUGGACCCCUGGAUAAAGGGGAGGUUUUGUAUCAGUGUUGAGGAGAGGGACAGUGGACCCCUGGUUAAAGGGGAGGUUUUGUAUCAGUGUUGAGGAGAGGGACAGUGGACCCCUGGAUAAAGGGGAGGUUUUGUAUCAGUGUUGAGUAGAGGAGAGGGACAGUGGACCCCUGGUUAAAGGGGAGGUUUUGUAUCAGUGUUGAGGAGAGGGACAGUGGACCCCUGGUUAAAGGGGAGGUUUUGUAUCAGUGUUGAGGAGAGGGACAGUGGACCCCUGGUUAAAGGGGAGGUUUUGUAUCAGUGUUGAGGAGAGGGACAGUGGACCCCUGGUUAAAGGGGAGGUUUUGUAUCAGUGUUGAGGAGAGGGACAGUGGACCCCUGGUUAAAGGGGAGGUUUUGUAUCAGUGUUGAGGAGAGGGACAGUGGACCCCUAGUUAAAGGGGAGGUUUUGUAUCAGUGUUGAGGAGAGUAGAGGGACAGUGGACCCCUGGUUAAAGGGGAUGUUUUGUAUCAGUGUUGAGGAGAGGGACAGUGGACCCCUGGUUAAAGGGGAGGUUUUGUAUCAGUGUUGAGGAGAGGGACAGUGGACCCCUGGUUAAAGGGGAGGUUUUGUAUCAGUGUUGAGGGACAGUGGACCCCUGGUUAAAGGGGAGGUUUUGUAUCAGUGUUGAGGAGAGGGACAGUGGACCCCUGGUUAAAGGGGAGGUUUUGUAUCAGUGUUGAGGAGAGGGACAGUGGACCCCUGGUUAAAGGGGAGGUUUUGUAUCAGUGUUGAGGGACAGUGGACCCCUGGUUAAAGGGGAGGUUUUGUAUCAGUGUUGAGGAGAGGGACAGUGGACCCCUGGUUAAAGGGGAGGUUUUGUAUCAGUGUUGAGGAGAGGGACAGUGGACCCCUGGUUAAAGGGGAGGUUUUGUAUCAGUGUUGAGGAGAGGGACAGUGGACCCCUGGAUAAAGGGGAGGUUUUGUAUCAGAGUUGAGGAGAGUAGAGGGACAGUGGACCCCUGGUUAAAGGGGAGGUUUUGUAUCAGAGUUGAGGAGAGGGACAGUGGACCCCUGGUUAAAGGGGAGGUUUUGUAUCAGUGUUGAGGAGAGUAGAGGGACAGUGGACCCCUGGUUAAAGGGGAUGUUUUGUAUCAAUGUUGAGGAGAGGAGAGGGACAGUGGACCCCUGGUUAAAGGGGAUGUUUUGUAUCAGUGUUGAGGAGAGGAGAGGGACAGUGGACCCCUGGAUAAAGGGGAGGUUUUGUAUCAGUGUUGAGGAGAGGGACAGUGGACCCCUGGUUAAAGGGGAUGUUUUGUAUCAGUGUGUCAGUGUGAUGUGUUACUCUGCUCUGUC